UUUCCGUAGGUGAGCCUGCGGAAGGAUCAUUACUGAGUGAGGGCCCCUCGGGGUCCAACCUCCCACCCGUGUUUAACGAACCUUGUUGCUUCGGCGGGCCCGCCUCACGGCCGCCGGGGGGCAUCUGCCCCCGGGCCCGCGCCCGCCGAAGCCACCUGUGAACGCUGUCUGAAGUAUGCAGUCUGAGACAAUUAUUAAAUUAAUUAAAACUUUCAACAACGGAUCUCUUGGUUCCG
rnacentral:misc_RNA from 1 species